rnacentral:lncRNA from 1 species
UCUAUUUUUUGAUAUUGAAAUAAAAAUCUAGAAGAGAGUUUUUUCCUUAUAUUUGUUGUUCUCUUUAUUUUGUGCAUCUUCUUUCUCAAGUUCUACUAAAAUGUAGCCUUGGCUGCAUCAAUAUCCUACUAUUAUUCCCCCUCACCUAAGGGCACCUCCAGGCUGACCCAAAAAGGUUAGAAGAGAGGAUGAGGAUGAGCUUAAUUAAGGUUUCAACCAUAUUAAAAGAAAGGGCACCUCACUAAGAUGCACCAAUUGCCUAUAAUGGGGGCAUAAUUCCAGGACUACCAAAUGACCCACAGAGGACA